UACGAAGGGUGCAAGCGUUACUCGGAAUUACUGGGCGUAAAGCGUGCGCAGGCGGUUUUGUAAGUUUGUCGUGAAAGCCCCGGGCUCAACCUGGGAAUGGCGAUGAAGACUGCAAGGCUUGAAUCUGGCAGAGGGGGGUAGAAUUCCGCGUGUAGCAGUGAAAUGCGUAGAGAUGCGGAGGAACACCGAUGGCGAAGGCAGCCCCCUGGGCCAACACUGACGCUCAGGCACGAAAGCGUGGGGAGCAAACAGG
rnacentral:rRNA from 1 species